rnacentral:lncRNA from 1 species
AAAUAGUAACAUUCCUUUUGUCUUUGUUGGAAAUUGCAGCUGUUCCUUGUGUUGUUCCCGAUGAUUGUCCAAAGGCGAUUUUCCCUGAAUAUUAUAUGUGCAUGGAUAAGAUUUGUGUACUCAUUAAAUACUCCCUCCGGUCCUUUUUAUAAGAAACACUUUAGAAUUUUUAUUUGGUCCUUUUUAUAAGAAAUACUUUGACACAAUUCCAUUUGUACCCUUAUUAAAUACAAUCAAAUAAUUCAUUAUAAUGCUAGUGCAUUAAUUAGAGAGACUUAUUUCCCAUGCUAGUCAAAGGUUAGUUUUGGAAUAUAACAUAAAAUGUUAGAAUCAUUAAUGAGAAAAUUUACCUUCCUUGAUCUGUGUGAUUUUGUCAAAGUGUUUCUUAUAAUAAGGACCGGAGGGA